rnacentral:rRNA from 1 species
GAUGAACGCUAGCGACAGGCCUAACACAUGCAAGUCGAGGGGCAGCACAUGAGUAGCAAUACGAUGGUGGCGACCGGCGCACGGGUGAGUAACACGUAUGCAACCUACCUGUAAGAGGGGAAUAACCCGGAGAAAUUCGGACUAACACCGCAUAAUACCGAUUAACUGCAUGGUUGAUCGGUUAAAUAUUUAUAGCUUACAGAUGGGCAUGCGUAACAUUAGAUAGUUGGUGAGGUAACGGCUCACCAAGUCAACGAUGUUUAGGGGUUCUGAGAGGAAGGUCCCCCACACUGGUACUGAGACACGGACCAGACUCCUACGGGAGGCAGCAGUGAGGAAUAUUGGUCAAUGGGCGAGAGCCUGAACCAGCCAAGUCGCGUGAAGGAAGAAGGUUCUAUGGAUUGUAAACUUCUUUUGUAAGGGAAUAAAAGAGUUACGUGUAACUUAUUGUAUGUACUUUACGAAUAAGGAUCGGCUAACUCCGUGCCAGCAGCCGCGGUAAACACGAG